UGGGGAAUUUUGGACAAUGGGCGAAAGCCUGAUCCAGCAAUGCCGCGUGUGUGAAGAAGGCCUUCGGGUUGUAAAGCACUUUUGUCCGGAAAGAAAUCCUUGGCUCUAAUACAGUCGGGGGAUGACGGUACCGGAAGAAUAAGCACCGGCUAACUACGUGCCAGCAGCCGCGGUAAUACGUAGGGUGCAAGCGUUAAUCGGAAUUACUGGGCGUAAAGCGUGCGCAGGCGGUUUGCUAAGACCGAUGUGAAAUCCCCGGGCUCAACCUGGGAACUGCAUUGGUGACUGGCAGGCUAGAGUAUGGCAGAGGGGGGUAGAAUUCCACGUGUAGCAGUGAAAUGCGUAGAGAUGUGGAGGAAUACCGAUGGCGAAAGGCAGCCCCCUGGGCCAAAUACUGACGCUCAUGCACGAAAAGCGUGGGGGAGCAAAACAGGAUUAGAUACCCUGGUAGUCCACGCCCUAAAACGAUGUCAACUAGUUGUUGGGGAUUCAUUUCCUUAGUAACGUAGCUAACGCGUGAAGUUGACCGCCUGGGGAGUACGGUCGCAAAGAUUAAAAACUCAAAUGAAUUGACGGGGUCAUAGCUGUUUCCU
rnacentral:rRNA from 1 species